rnacentral:rRNA from 1 species
GACGUAGGGCGCGAGCGUUGUCCGGAUUUAUUGGGCGUAAAGAGCUCGUAGGCGGCUUGUCGCGUCGGCCGUGAAAACCUGCAGCUCAACUGCAGGCUUGCGGUCGAUACGGGCAGGCUGGAGUUCGGUAGGGGAGACUGGAAUUCCUGGUGUAGCGGUGAAAUGCGCAGAUAUCAGGAGGAACACCGGUGGCGAAGGCGGGUCUCUGGGCCGAUACUGACGCUGAGGAGCGAAAGCGUGGGGAGCGAACAGG